UACGGGGGGGGUAAGCGUUGUUCGGAAUUACUGGGCGUAAAGGGCUCGUAGGCGGCCAACUAAGUCAUACGUGAAAUCCUUCAGCUUAACUGGGGAACUGCGUGUGAUACUGGUGGGCUUGAAUCCGGGAGAGGGAUGCGGAAUUCCAGGUGUAGCGGUGAAAUGCGUAGAUAUCUGGAGGAACACCGGUGGCGAAGGCGGCAUCCUGGACCGGCAUUGACGCUGAGGCGCGAAAGCCGG
rnacentral:rRNA from 1 species